rnacentral:misc_RNA from 1 species
AAGCAAGCAAUACGCCCCACCAAUCUAUCUUCCAUCCUCUCACUCGUUUACCUUUGCGCUUUCUUGUUCUUUUUUUUUCGCGCCGUGGUAUCGCAGCGUUGGCGACGAGCGUCUUAACAGAUAUAUACAUACAUAUAUCUCUAUCUGUAUAUCUGUAUAUACACACUUCGUUCCUGUUGCUGGUUUUUCUCUGCCCGUGUCUGUGUGAGUGCGCACAUCUGUUUUACACGUACGGGACAUACAUCCCCCAUUCGUACGCUCGUCCAACUCACCUUCAACUUGCCCCCAUCCCUCUCUCUCCGCUCUGUGCUCUCCACACGCUCCUUGCACGAAGCUGCAGUCGAAAGAGGAGGACGACACACGCUCAAACACGCAUCGCCGCCCAAGCAGGUAAUUGAAAGCCACACAUCAGGAAAAGAGGAAAUAACAAGAAAAAGAGAGAGAUUGUAACAGGGCCGAGCAGGUGUAUUUCCCCUUCUGUUCUCGUACCCCUGUCACUCAAUAACGGAGACGAACAGUGGGGCUUACAGACACUGAUUGCAGCCAACCAGCGAAGGAAGGCAGUAGUACGCAAGGUGACGCUCACGUUGGGAGGGUCUGCAGGAAAAGUCAAGCUAUUCCAGUUGCCACCUUUCCGCUCCGCCCCGCCCCUCGUGCCCCUCUCAUCUUGGCCAGACACACAUCGGGGUCACACACAAGUUGAGGUACCCGCGCCAUCAAGAGAACCACCGACGCCGAGGGCGAAAAACACACGUAGUUUCUCCCCUCUGCAAUCCGCCGUUCCUUGCAAGCUCCAUUCUUCUAUCCGCAAGUGUUCUCUCUCCCUCUGCAGGCGGUCCUCUACUGUUUUCUCCCAUUUCGUCUGCACGUCUGAGCGGCGCUGGUUUCCAAACCCUCCACUAUCCUCCCUCCCCCUGGCGCCUCUGUCGCUUCUCCUUCCGUUGCUGGUGGGAGAACUGUGUGCUUCAUCGUGUUUCUGUUUCUUGAUUCGGCUUGUACAUCACGCCGCUUCACUCUGCUUUUUUUUCUCAAUCCCUGCUUCUUUUUUUCCGGCUUGUGUGUGUUUGUGGCCCAUAGCACGUUUGUGUUGUCGCGUGUGCGCUUGUGUCGGUUUUCGUGUGCUGGUGCGUUGCUCCGGCUUUCGCCCUUCUUUAUGUGUCUUCGUCCUACACAUCCUGACGUGCUUGCCCGCUUUUGUUUAGUUUUCGUUCUGUAACUCCCUCCGCUUCUUGUUCAGUCUCCCCAGGCGUUGGUCUCUGUGCUCUGACAGGCCGAUAGCCCGAUUUUUUCCCUCCUCUUCCCCUUUUUGUAUUGUUUUCUGUGGGUGUGCGUGGCCGCGCCCUCUCUCGCUUUGUAUGGUGGACCCCACGCCAUCUUUUUGCUGUGCCGUCUCCCUUUUUUUGGUUGUCCUCGCAAGCGUGUCUCCGUUUUCUUGCUCGCCCCCCCCCACCGCUGCCUCCCUAUAGAGUUGUGUAGGGCUCUUGGUUCUCCGGCUCUACUUUACGUGUUUCCGACGUCUCCUCCGUAAUUUUUCUUCCUCUUUUUUUAUUUUAUCCUUUCUUACUAUUAUUCCUAUUUCGUACGCGGGUGAACUUGCGUUUUUGUGUGUGUGCCCACUCAUCUCACCACCACCACCCCUCUUCCCUCCUUUCCAUCUCAUCUCCAUCACUUCUUGGUAGUUGAAGCGUGUUUCUUCUCCUUUAGCGCGUUCUUUCCGAUUUGGCAUACCGCUUCUUCUUUUAUUUCUCGUGUUGUGCCUUACUAUCGCGGCUGCCUCCCCCUCUAUCUAUCUAUAUAUAUAUAGAUAUAGGUUUUCUGUUCUUGUUUUCCUUCUGUAGUCCCCUCCUCACACCGCCUUACGUUGUCGCGUUUUUUUUUGUGCCGUUGUUGUGCUCACCGCUCCUUUCUCCUUCAACGCUCUGCGACUCUGUUUCUCUCUUGGUACCGACGACGCGCUCUACGUGCGCCGGUGCUGACGUAAACUCUCUUGCGUGUCUCUCUCCCUCCCCCCUCUCGCUUCUAUUCUACUCGUUCCUUGUUGUAGGCUCCUCUUCCCCAUCUGUGUGUGUGUGUGUGUGUGUGUGUGUGUGUUACACAGUGUUCAUCUCUGCGCUGUUCUGUCUCUCUUUUUUGCCACUGUAUCUCAGUCUUUUGGCUUUCCUACGGGGGCUGCCACCUUUGCUUCUCUCUCUCGUCGUUGGUGUGCUUGGUUUCUCUUCUGCGUCGCCCUCACACGCUACACCGCUCAUCACCACCUCCAGUGAGACGGGGCGCUCCCUUCUCUCCCUCUCUUGCCUGCCAUCAUUCCGACAUUCGUUGCCGUCGUCCCGCUUCCCUGCGACCCUCUUCUGCCUUUUUGUUGCAGUCGCCGUGGUGGUUAGCUGACAGCGAGCGAGUGGGAGAAGAGACGACGGCCAUCAGAAAAAAAGAACUCGGCGCGCGUUGUCCAAUCAAAGUGGAAGGAGGGCCGUUCCUCUCGCCCCUCACAGCCGUCAACACCAAGAAACCAGCAGCAGAAAGCAAGAAGCCGGUGACAUUGUCUCGAGACUCACGCUUACGCGAACCUUCUCUUUUUCGUAUUUCUACGAGUUUCUGUCCGCGUGCGCGUAGGUGGAUGCGGAGAAGCAGAGGAGGAAGCAGUGCCAAGAGCGUCACGUGAGGAAAAGCGAAAGCGUAGUCGAACGUGGAGCGCAGUUUUUUUUUUUUUUUUAUGGUUUCUUUUUCUUUUGCUACUUGUGUUGUCGUUGUCGUCGUUGCGCACUCCAUCAACUGAGAGGCAGCAAAACAAAAACGCGAGAGUGCUCCUCUUUCUUUUAUCAAUCUUGGCUCGCUUGACCGAUAGGAAAGGAUUGUAUCGAUUCGACACGCCGACAGAAACUCAUACAUCUGUCGUGGAUACCGACCCACACAUACUUCUUGCUCUCCCUCCUUUUUUUAUUUCUGCGUUCGAAUCAUAGUUUGAGCGCGCGAGCGUUUUUCUCUCCCUUCUGUCUUUUCUGAUAUCUCUCUCCCUACCCCUCUCUGUGUGUCUGUGUGCGCGCGUGUGAUUGUCAUCAGCGGGCACGCACGUUCGUAGUCUGCCCCCGGGCUGGAUCUCUGCUUUCUUUUUUUUUUAUUGCUGCUGUGCUGUGCCGCUCUCUUUUAGUUUUACGUUCAAAAGUGUUUUCACCGUUCCUCUCCUUCCAUCUUCCUUCCUCCACACCGCGUUUCCCCAUCGUGGCGCUGUCUUUGUUUCGGUGUGUGCAUCAGUGUGUGCACUCUCGCGCGUUGCAACGCAGCAAGGGAGCACUGCUUGAGCCUCACCCUUUUUUUUUUUCUCAUAGCCUUCACCUUGUGAAGUCUCACCGCGUUGCCUGUCUUUCAGCACACGCACGCUCCUGUGUGCGCGCUUACACGACUGGCCAACCUUUUCUUUUGCUUGUACCUUUUCGUGGUGCUCAUCACGACACACGUGCAUACGAACGAGGAAGCGAAACGAACGGAGCAAAGUGCGAAAGUCGGGCACAGACGCGCUGCGCUCAGACGCACAACUGCGAAAAAAAAAAGAGAGCACGAACGCUCGCCAUUGAUCAGAAAACGACAGGGAGACACCACCCACUGCGUAUUUCUCGCGGCACCUCGAUUGCCCACGCAGUGGUCACCAAAACUCUUACCCUACCUCCUCCUCCUUCCCUCAGUGUCUUCUCCCCAAGCUCCCCGGGUCUUCUACUUCCUCGACAUCACUGAAACAGCCGUUUUCUGGAUCAGAGGCACGCACGAGUCGAUUUCGAAAAAGAAAAGACAAAACAGACAGCUCAGCGGACCGAGCCAAAAUCGUUCUUGUGCCCCUCGCUGUUGGGUGUGUCUCUCUCUCUUGCUCCUUUUCUUCCGCUUCUUUCAACCUCCAUCAAAAAGAUCUAUAUAUAUAUAUAUAUAUAUAUAUAUAUAUAUAUAUAUAUAUAUAUAUCUGUCAUCGCUGACUCUCUGGCCCUCCUCCUUCCCAUCGUCGACUCCUUUGAUUUUCUCGUUUGCUCUGUUGUUGUUUUGUGUGUGUGCUUGUGUCCUGGUCCCCCUCUUCCCCACGCCAGUGCAUCCCUUUCGUUGAUCCUCUUUUUUUUCGCAUUGUUGCCGUGUAUCGCACGCCGAGACAACUCUCCCCCUCUCUCGCUCUCUGGCUCUCCGGACUCGUCGAACGACAAGAUACCAAGCAUAAGGUAGAACAGACAACAGCGUCGGCUCACCCUCACACGGCUCACAGAGAUCGAUACACAUUCCCUUCUCUCUUUUUUUCUUCGUGUCAUCCUCGCUCUGCACACGCACACCCGUACCCACGCAAGCACGCACAGCCGAUAAUACGACCAGCAGCAGCACACGCCCCUUCCAGCGUGCCUGCCAGUGAGAGCGACUGCGAUAGCGUUUGUUUUAUAUAUCGGUGUUGGUGUGUGUGUGUGUGCGCGCACCUGCGUGUAUUUGCACGUCUUUGUUCACUGGCCCCCCUCUCUCUUCACCCUUUUGCCGACUCGCUGCUGUAGACGGGCCUCGUGUGCGUGUGUGUGUGCGUACAUUAAUCGAAGCGAAUAGAACGAGCAGCAGUCAGCCCCUCCCUGCUUCCUUUUGGGGGUUUUGAUUUCUCAAGGAAAAAGUUCGCUUGUAGGCCGUAUUCGGGGCUCGUUUUUUCUUUUGCUUCGUUUCUCUGGAAGGCUCCUGCAACGCCCCUCUCUCUCUGCGUGCGCGCGUGUGACUUACGGGCCCUUCUUUUUCUUGGAGGGCUUUGGCCCUAUUCCUCCCCCCCCACACACACACAUAAAGACUCGCAUAAACGAAAACCAACGGCGAUAACGAGAGAAUCGAUCGCGUUCCUCUCUUCGUCUGCACUGCAUAUCUUGUUGCACGCUUUACGCAGAGAGGGGCCCACUCCGUAGGGCCUAACCCUUGUUUUUUUUUUUCGUGGGGUUUCUCCCUUCGUGCUUAGUGCUCGUAUUUUCGUGCCUUGCUUCUCUGGCGCUUCUUCUCCGCUCGUCCUUGUCGCUCAAGAGACACGCCCCCCUCUCUCCGUCCCGCCUGCCCUUCCCUCUCUUCUCUGUUCUCUCACCACUUUUUUGUCGUUGCCCUGCUUUCCUGUCAAUCUUUUGCGUCAGGCGGUGCGCUUCGUGUCUCGUUUCUUUCCCUGCUUGUAAAUCGACAUCUUCCUCUCUCUCUACCUCGAUAUAAGUACAUUGGCUUCUGUUCUGCCCUCGCUCCUUCUGUGUGUUUCUUGUUUUGGUUGCGUGCUUGCUUGUGUGUGUGUGUGUUGCGGGUGCUGUGGCUGUUGCUCCUCUGCCGUUAGAGGGGUUUCACGCCCCUCUCCCUCCGCUUACUUUGUCGGCCUCAUCAGGUUUGAGUGGCUCUCUCGUCCUUCUUUUUUUUUGGUGAGUGAGUUUCGCAUCCCUGACGUCUUUCAUUUGGGCAACGUUUCGUGUGUGUGUGCGUGUGCUGAGCGUUCCUAUUUUGCGUACUCUCGCGCUGUUUUGUGUGCCUCUUGCGUGCCACGGCGCCUGACUCUCCGUGCGUGAGGUGGCAUACCCGAAUACACAACGUUGUGCAGUUUUUUUUUUUUUUAGUAUUAUUCUGUGGUGCGGCGUCCCUUAUGGAAACGUCUCUGCCGUUCGCCAUCUCGCGUCAGGCUAAAGAGGGAGGCGACUCGGUAGGCAAAGUGCACGUCUUGCGUCCCGCGUGCUGCGACACCUCAGCCAUUACCUCCGGCGCUCGCGGCGCAAUCGCGGCAGGGAAAGGCAGCAGCAACACCAAUGGCGACGCGUCUCUCAACGUCGCUCGUGUCGUGACGGGGAGCGUGGAGUACUACCUGACCGAUCGUAGCCCCCACAUCCAGGGCAUCCAUUCCCCUGUCUUGUCGACGUACAGCAGCAACAAGCCCGCGACCAACGCCUGCGCCACCCCUAGUGGCUGUAUCGGGGUACCGGUGCCUGGUGCACCGCAGGAAGCUGUACCCAUUGUGAACUCGCCGUCAGUGCCGGCCACCAGUGCCAACGGUCGCCUUAAGGUCUCAAGCCUCCUUGGCAACAUCAACACUGAUCCAUGCCACGCUGACGCCGCCGACUCGUGGGCCACCUCCAACUGCCUCCUGAAGACGUUAGACAACUCCGGCAAGGGGAUUUCCCCACUCUUGCUCGCACCUGGGAACAACCCCCAAGGCUGCGGCGCCGGCCCCCGGCUGCGAAUCUCGGAGAGCUCGUCGACGAUCGCUGACGACCUGGAGAACGAUAAGCCGCUUCUCUCCAGCACCGGCAAAGGGAGUGGCGAGAAGCGCUUCUUCGGUGCGACGCCACGCAGCGGAGAGUUUUUGCCGCUGAUCGAGUGGCUGCUGCGCCGUGGCGAGCGCGGUGACGUCGGUGCCCCGGCGGCAUCGCAGAAGGACGGCGACGAGUACACGCAGGCGAGCUUCUUCAACGAGGACUACAUCAUGAAGCUGUGCGCUGCGGCGACGGCGGUGCUAGUGAAGGAGCCAACGCUGCUGGAGCUGGAGGUGGUAGCGCACGACACGCUGGUGGUGGUGGGCGACAUCCACGGCCAGUUCCAGGACCUCUACACGAGCGUGCUCUGCCAGCAGUACGACCGGCGCCGGUGCAACCCCGACGGACGCGACCGCCACUUCCUGUUCAUGGGUGACUACGUGGACCGCGGCCCGCACAGCCUGGAGGUGGUGCUGCUGCUGCUGGCACUGAAGGUGGAAUACCCGACGCUAGUUUACCUGACGCGUGGCAACCACGAGGAGGAGAAGACGUCGCGCGUGUACGGCUUCUUGACGGAGGCGACGUCGUCGCUGGGCGCCGCGGCCGGGACGGCGGUGUGGAGCGCCGUGAACAAGGUGUUCCUCGACCUACCGCUGGCCGCGAUUGUGCAGACACUGUACAUGCGCUUCUUUGUGACGCACGGCGGCCUCUCGCCGGGCUUGCAGAAUGUGGAGGAUAUCGCGAGCAUUGAUCGCCACGCAUAUGGCACCGGGGAUCUGUCGAAGGAGGCGCACGAUAUUGUAGAUGGCCUUCUCUGGUCCGACCCGUGCAUCGGCACGGGCUUAUUCUCUGUUAGCUCGCGAGGGUGCGGGUGGGACUUUGGCCCUGCUGCGUCGAGCGACUUCUGCAGCAGAAACAAGCUCAACUUCGUUUGCCGCGCGCACCAGGUGGCGAUGGACGGGUACUUCUGGACGCACAACGACCACGUGGUGACAGUCUUUUCCGCACCGAAUUACUGCGGCAUCAACAAUAACCGUGGUGCCGUCAUGGUAGUGUCAGGAGAGGCGAACAAGCCGUCCUUUGAGCAGUACGACAGCUGCGAUGAGAGGGACUGUCCGUAUCUGGACUCGUGCUUUCCACACUCCUCUUUCUUCUACUAGGCCGUGGUAGUGGUGGUCGGUGUUGCGAAUACAAAAAAAGGCUUACCGGCGACGCCUACGUGCCCGGGCGUGCGCCCCUCCCCCUUCUUUCGAUUCCUCGUUGUCUUCUGCAGCAUGCUUCGUGGGCUCCGUACCGCUCACCUGCUUUACGUUUCUCGUACGACGACAAUG